rnacentral:sRNA from 1 species
UAAUAGCUUUACCAAGAGUUGUGGUUCUUGUGUUUAGUGUGUAGUGUUUGUUUUGUUUACUAUAAAACUAUUGUGCAAGCCAUUCUCAUUUAAACCUAAGGUUACAAGAAACGCCCUGCCUUCAAAUUUCAAGCACCGAGUGAUAUUUUGUUAUACCUUAACACUCGGACUGAAUCAAGCUGUGCAAUCCACUGUCUCUUGACACACAGAGAUGAAGGCAAUAAGACUGACUCUGUGCCAACUGUGUCACAAUGACGUGCGGGGGUACCUCAUCCCCACCCGUCUUAUGUCGUCCGUGACUCAGAUGCACGAGGGUCAGGUCAAGGUCAGGCCUUUCUCAGAGAUACCUGGACCAAAAGGAAUUUAUCAGUGGCCAGUAAUCGGAACAGUGUUGCAUUAUAAACCUUUUACCAAACACACUCCGGAGAAAAUUCAUCGUCUCAUGAACGAGCUGUUUGACAAAUACGGACCCGUGGUCAAAUUUCGAAUGGGGCCUCAAACGGUUGCAGUUUGUGACCCUAAAGACUUUGAAACUGUUUUCAGGAAUGAAGGCCAGUACCCCGUGCGGCCCACUCUUGACAUAGUCACAGCUUACAAUAAAAGAAAUGGACACAAGGAGACG